rnacentral:misc_RNA from 1 species
GAUGAAGACGUAGCGAAAUGCGAUAAGUAAUGUGAAUUGCAGAAUUCAGUGAAUCAUCGAAUCUUUGAACGCACAUUGCGCCCGCCAGUAUUCUGGCGGGCAUGCCUGUUCGAGCGUCAUUUCAACCAUCAAGCCCCCGGCUUGUGUUGGGGACCUGCGGCUGCCGCAGGCCCUGAAAAGCAGUGGCGGGCUCGCUGUCACACCGAGCGUAGUAGCAUACAUCUCGCUCUGGGCGUGCUGCGGGUUCCGGCCGUUAAACCACCUUCAUAACCCAAGGUUGACGUCGGAUCAGGUAGGAAGACCCGCUGAACUUAAGCAUAUCAAUAAGCGGAGGA